UUGUUUCUUACGCAAGUUGUGCUCGCUGGGAAUAAUAUAUUUAAUUAAUAUGUUAAAAGUAUAUGUUUGGUCAAGAAGGGUUCGUAUUCGUUUGUGAAUUGUGAUGCUAAACAUGCGCUCCUCAUUCUUUCUGAGAUUCUUUUUUGAUUGGUUUUGAGAUUCUCUGUUUGUAUAAACAUGUUCGUGUUAUGGAAAAAAAGCCCUAGGGUUUUUGUUGUUUGGUUGCUCAUAGCCAGAAACCCUAAUUGGUGUUUGAUAAAUAUUGCUCCAGAGAAGUAAUGGUGUCGUUUGGUUGCAGGGAAAGUGGAGGAAAGGGAAUGGAAAUUCGGGGUCUGAGCAAUUGGAAACCUCAUAUUCCAACUUUUGGCGGUGGUGAUGAUUCCGGUGGGUUCUCUUUACAAGUUAUAGCUUUUAAAAUCCAGGUAAUCAUUGAGUCGAGCUUGGCAUGAACUUCAAUGGGCACUUCAGUUCUUGAUCACUGAGGACAAUGAAUGUUGACUUGGAAUCUUGAUACUGCAUGAUUAUUGAUACUGGCAAAAACAACAUGACUUGGUAAGGUAAUAGGAGAUAUCCCAAUGGUUAAUGUUAACAACAUUGUGGGUGGUUGUCUAGCCCGCACUGCCAAGUUAGAGAUGAAUCAGAUGAUGGAACCUUGCUCCAGUGUGAAAGACAGGUAGGAUUUCUUCUGAGGCUACAGCAACUGCAGUGAUGGGAAGAGGCCUGAAAAUGCUGCGAAAACUAUUAUUGUGUUUCUACACUGCUGGUACCAAGCUUGAACCAAGCGUUGAAUUGUGGACUGUGCACAGCUAAAUGACUGGUAAUCUUUAGUACAAGUUAUAUGAACUUGAUUUUCUUGAUCUUUUAUAUGCGAGUCAUCUUUCUUACUGGUUCAUUUCCCCAGCUUUAGAGGGCAUUAUUUUGUCUGCUAUGUUGUUUGAUUCCUUGCGGCAUGAGGCCGAAAACGUGAAUUUUGAGCAAGGUGCUACCCAAUUUAAAGAAGCAUAACUUCUUGUUUCUGCUACCUCCGGUAAUGUAGUUUGAGUUGGACCUCAAAUUCUAAAGAUUAAAAAAUGGCAGUUCUCUGUUUGUUUUGACAUUUCAUUUUUUAGGUAAAAUAUUCUUUUAUUUUUUACUUUUUCGGUGUUUGGCAAAGGUUUAUGUCGAGGUUGAGGUCGAAUCCAUUAGGCAGGACAUGUAAAAUGACUUGCCGAAAAUUGAUGGAUAAGUUAUUUUUGUUAGAUUUUAAUACUUUUUUUUCUUCCUAAAUAUUUUAGGACAACCAAACACCAAAAAAUAAAAAAAAUAUAUAUAUUUUUUGAAAAAUAUUUUACAUCCAAACAAACAGAGCCUUAAUGUAAUCUCUUUUUCCUGAAAUAACUUAAUAUGGAUCUGAAAUGAGUUUUCAAGGACAUGCUUUGAUCUGCCAUGACUUUGAACUUCUUGUGCUUUGCCUAGCUUUGUGCUUAAUGAGUAUUGAUUCAAUAAACAUAAAAAAGAAACUCCAUAUCAGAUGUAAACUAGACUUUCAGUAGCUUUAUAUCAGAAAGUGUUUUUGUUUGUGUGUGUGUGUGUGUGUGUGUGAGAGAGAGAGAGAGAGAGAGAUUGAAUCCAGAAAUUAGAGCUGUUAUUUCUCCCUUAAAUCCCCUUUGCGAGCUCAACACAAUCUGUAAAUUUCCCAAUUAUUCACUAAUUACUGGCAUACAAAAAUCAAAUAGUUCUGUUCUAGGGUUUGUCAUUGUGCAAGUCUUUUCUUUGCUUUCAUCUUUUAUCUUGUUUUCGUUUGGGGAUUUGAACCCUCAUUUUUUACUUUGAAAGGCGAGAAAAACCAUUGAGCUACGACCUUUGGUCUUAAAAUUUUUUUAAAAAAAAACAUUGUGCCAAGUUUAUUUAUAAAUUUGUGCGUUUUUGUUCGAAAGAGAAGUCAAAUUGAAUUUUCAACCAAUCGUGCACUCUUAAAUUUUAUGAAUUAUUUUAUAUGUCUCCGUAAAGAAAAUGAAUGUUUUUAAGAUCACGUGAGAAAAAGUUGGGCAAUACUAGCUAUGCAACAUCUGGGAUUUAUUAUUAUUAUUAUUAUUAUUAUUAUUAUUUUCUUCUCUCUCGAGUUUUUUAAUUGAAUAAUUUUUUUUGGAAUUUCUACUUAUUUUAAGCUAAUAUAUACUGUGCAUAUUUUAACAUCAGCUUGAAAUUUAUAUGAGAUACCAACUACUUGAGACACAAACUAAUGUUGAAAAGGGGCCUAAAUGUCAUGACAUAAAUAAAUUUGUAAUGUGUUUUAUUUUGAAAGGUUAAGCAACCGACAUAAAUAAAUAAUAAUUAUAGAAUGGGGCUUUGGUCAGACAGCCCAGGGACAAUAAGAAAGCCCGAAAAGGGCAAACAAGGGACAAGCCCUUACAAUUGACAAAGCAAAUAACCGCAAUUAAUGGCUUGAUUAACAGCAAGUAACGACUUGAUUAAUUGUUAAUGGUGGUUAUUUGUGUAACU